CCGCUGAACUUAGCAUAUCAUUAGCGGAGGAAAAGAAACCAACAGGGAUUGCCCUAGUAACGGCGAGUGAAGCGGCAACAGCUCAAAUUUGAAAUCUGGCUCUCGGGCCCGAGUUGUAAUUUGUAGAGGAUACUUUUGAUGCGGUGCCUUCCGAGUUCCCCUGGAACGGGACGCCAUAGAGGGUGAGAGCCCCGUCUGGUUGGAUGCCAAAUCUCUGUAAAGUUCCUUCAAACGAGUCGAGUAGUUUGGGAAUGCUGCUCUAAAUGGGAGGUAUAUGUCUUCUAAAGCUAAAUACCCGGCCAGAGACCGAUAGCGCACAAGUAGAGUGAUCGAAAGAUGAAAAGCACUUUGAAAAGAGAGUUAAAAAGUACGUGAAAUUGUUGAAAGGGAAGCGUUUAUGACCAGACUUGGGCUUGGUUAAUCAUCUGGGGUUCUCCCCAGUGCACUUUUCCAGUCCAGGCCAGCAUCAGUUUUCCCCGGGGGAUAAAGGCGGCGGGAAUGUGGCUCUCUUCGGGGAGUGUUAUAGCCCACCGUGUAAUACCCUGGGGGGGACUGAGGUUCGCGCAUCUGCAAGGAUGCUGGCGUAAUGGUCAUCAACGACCCGUCUUGAAACACGGACCAAGGAGUCGUCUUCGUAUGCGAGUGUUCGGGUGUCAAACCCCUACGCGUAAUGAAAGUGAACGCAGGUGAGAGCUUCGGCGCAUCAUCGACCGAUCCUGAUGUUCUCGGAUGGAUUUGAGUAAGAGCAUACGGGGCCGGACCCGAAAGAAGGUGAACUAUGCCUGUAUAGGGUGAAGCCAGAGGAAACUCUGGUGGAGGCUCGCAGCGGUUCUGACGUGCAAAUCGAUCGUCAAAUAUGGGCAUGGGGGCGAAAGACUAAUC
rnacentral:rRNA from 1 species